rnacentral:sRNA from 1 species
UAAAAGGUGUUGGAUUGUACCUGUUGUGAUUUAUACAUACAGAACAGGUACAGCACAAGCAGCAGUAGUGCAAGUUUCCCCAGACGAUCCUGCCAAUUUGUCUCCUUUUCAGAGGUGAGCACUCGAGGUAAAAAUAAGAAGGGAGUUCAGGCUCCAGGGCCCAUUCUGCUCAGCUUGC